UACGUAGGGUCCAAGCGUUAAUCGGAAUUACUGGGCGUAAAGCGUGCGUAGGCGGUCUCGCAAGUCCGAUGUGAAAUCCCCGGGCUUAACCUGGGAACUGCGUUGGAAACUAUGAGGCUAGAGUGCGGCAGAGGGGGGUGGAAUUCCAGGUGUAGCAGUGAAAUGCGUAGAUAUCUGGAGGAACACCGAUGGCGAAGGCAGCCCCCUGGGUUAGCACUGACGCUCAUACACGAAAGCGUGGGGAGCAAACAGG
rnacentral:rRNA from 1 species